rnacentral:rRNA from 1 species
GACGAACGCUGGCGGCGUGCCUAAUACAUGCAAGUCGAGCGCAGGCAGCCGUUCCGAACCCUUCGGGGGGACGACGGUGGAAUGAGAGGCGGAAGGGUGAGUAACACGUAAAGAACCUGCCCAUAGGUCUGGGAUAACCACGAGAAAUCGGGGCUAAUACCGGAUGUGUCAUCGGCACGCAUGGUCCGAUGAUGAAAGGCGCUCCGGCGUCGCCCAGGGAUGGCUUUGCGGUGCAUUAGCUAGUUGGUGGGGUAACGGCCCACCAAGGCGACGAUGCAUAGCCGACCUGAGAGGGUGAUCGGCCACACUGGGACUGAGACACGGCCCAGACUCCUACGGGUGGCAGCAGUAGGGAAUCUCCCACAAUGGACGAAAGUCUGAUGGAGCAACGCCGCGUGAACGAUGAAGGCUUUCGGGUCGUAAAGUUCUGUUGUAAGGGAAGAACAAGUGCCGCAGGCAAUGGCGGCACCUUGACGGUACCUUGCGAGAAAGCCACGGCUAACUACGUGCCAGCCGCCGCCGUAA